rnacentral:rRNA from 1 species
AACGAACGCUGGCGGCAGGCUUAACACAUGCAAGUCGAACGAGAUCUUCGGAUCUAGUGGCAGACGGGUGAGGAACACGUGGGAACAUCCCUUUCAGUUCGGAAUAACGUUGGGAAACUAACGCUAAUACCGGAUACGUCCUUCGGGAGAACGAUUUAUCGCUGAAAGAUUGGCCCGCGUCUGAUUAGCUAGUCGGUGAGGUCACGGCUCACCAAGGCUACGGGCAGUAGCUGAUCUGAGAGGAUGAGCAGCCACAUUGGGACUGAGACACGGCCGAAACUCCUAAGGGAGGCAACAGUGGGGAAUAUUGGACAAUGGGCGAAAGCCUGAUCCAGCCAUGCCGCGUGAGUGAUGACGGCCUUCGGGUUGUAAAGCUCUUUUGUCCGGGAAGAUAAUGACUGUACCGGAAGAAUAAGCCCCGGCAAACUUCGUGCCAGCCGCCGCUGUAA